UGUAUUUUGGAUCAUCCAAUGAAAUUAACUUAGCUUGUUUAAAUUGCAUAUCACUUUAAAACAUUAUUGCAAAGUAAGUAAGAUAUAUAUUACACAAACUAAAAAAUCACUUCCAAUGUCAUCGUUUGAAGCACCACUUGAACGUCUGUUUUCACAUUGCUUGAUGCAUGCAUGCAAUUUCUUUGUUGCUUUCUCAAUAGUUUGAAUUCGACUAUGGAUAUAUUUCUUUGUACAUUCACUCCAACUUGAAAAAUAUACUACAUAUGCCACUCUUUCAAUUAGGGUUAAUAGGACAUUUUAGAUUUAAUGCAAGCCACAAUUUUUUCUGGAUUUUCUUGCUAUAUUCUAUAUUUUAUAAUAUUUUAAUAACAAUUAAAGGUAACCAAAUCUAACUAAUAUUGAUAAUAAGUAAAUAUAUAAUUUAAACUAAUCCCAUCGAAAGUGUUACAUUUAAAAACAUAUUGUUAUAAUUUACAAAAACAAAUAUCAUUUUUAAAAUAUGUUGAGCAUAGCAAAUGUGAAUUUAAAGUUUCAUGUUAGUACAAAAUUUACUUGGUCAUAUAUGAAUUAUUUUAUUAUGAAACAAAUAUACUUUUUUUAUAAUAAUUUAAGAUAUUUUCAAACUUGGGUAACUAUCAAAAUCACAUUGUUUGAAAUAUGAAUUAGCUCGAGAUUUAUAAGAUCCACAAUAUAUGAGAAUAGCAAGUAUACCUAUAUUUUGAUACACAAUAUCUUUCAAGUUUGGAAUAUGCUAUACGUAUAUUCCUAAAGCUAUCUUAUCCCUAGCUUUACAGACACGAUUUCUCAUUACUAUAAAUAUGGCUUCUUUAAACCUUUUCUUAACAAACCACUUAUAUCGUAAAAUUAGCUCGAGAUCUUUAAUAUUUUUGAGGAUUCGAUUGAUGUGGCUCUGGAAUGAUUUCUCUUUAUGCAUUGAUUUUCCUAUUCUGUUUUCAAGGUUUUGGAAUAUUGAACUGGAUUCUCUGGUUUCUUUUGAGUUUUUUUUUCUGUUCAGUUCUUUUUGAGCUUAUUGGAUAUUUGUUUGAGGUUUUUAACACAAAAGUUUGUAAAGUCAUUACAGCUUUAUCAAGUAGAUAAUACAAGGUUGGUAGGCUUUUGACAUUUCAGGAUUAGUAUGACUGUUUAGGUCUUAUAACCUUUUCUCGUGGCUCUGGUGUUUACAAGCAUAUAGAGUUCUAUCACUUGAUUCACUGUGGUUGGUACUUUUUCUCUUAUUCUAUUAAACACUUUACAUGUGUUCAUGGGGUCUUGGGGUUCAAGUUAAGCGGGAUGUAGAGUCAUAUAUACAAGGAACAAGAGGUUGCAAAAAAAAAAACUAAAAGGUCCCAGGUUUUUGUGGAUACAUAGUAUCUCAAAGGAAGUACAAGAAAGGAAAUGGGGUGGUCUAUCUUGGUAUAUAUUACAUGAGUUUUUGAUGGAUACAUGGUACACCCUUCAUUCAAUAGGUUUCUCAACGAUCAAAGGUCUAUGGGAUGCAAUAGUUUAUGGGAGGUCCUUAUUAUGGGUUGAUGGUUGUUUAUCGUGCUGUACGGUUUUACGAGUUUUGAACAUAGUUAUGUUAUACAUGGCUGGUUAAUCAAAGAAUGCAUCUUUCAGUCCAAGUCUUAUUAUGAUAACAAGGAAAUAUAUAGCGGUUGUUUAUGUAUUCAUAUUUCAUUGGAAGGACAUUUUACUAAUAGCAUAGCGAAAAAAUUGAAAAUACUAAUAUUUAGAAGAAAAAUAUUUAGAUGAAAAAUAAUAAUGAAAAUAUGACAUUUACUAAAUAUUUGUAAAUUUUUAAAAACAUUUCAAGGAAACUAGUAUAGUGUUAAGGCUUUUACAUCGUCAUCAGACACACAAACAUAAGUCAGAAGUAACUCCUGAUUGUUCUUUCCUUCAUGGCUGAUUUAGUCUCUGGUGACAUAGAAGUGCAACACUCUGGCGAUCCAAGCGGCAAGUGUGGUGGCUGGAUCACUUUUCCCUUCAUAAUCGUUACGUUGUUAGGACUGUCCAUAACUUUUUUCGGAGUGAUACUUAACUUGAUCGUAUACUUGAUCGAGGAAUUCAACAUCAAGAGCAUCGCUGCUGCUCAGAUUUCAAAUAUUUUCAAUUGAUGUCUUGCCAUGUUGCCUGUUGUUGCAGCCAUUCUAGCCGACUCUUUCUUCGGAGACAUUCCCGUCAUCUUGGCUUCUACUUUCAUUUAUCUGCUCGUAAAUCCAAAACUCAUCGAGGCUCUACUCUCAAUUUAUACAAAUGCUCACCAUUUCCAAAACGUUUUUUCCAGGGCAUCUCUCUUUUGACUCUUAUCGCAUUUUCGGACUACUUGAGACCUCGACCAUGUGAACCGGGCUCAAUCCUAUGCCAAUCACCAUCAGACCUCCAGCUUGGGAUUUUAUAUGUAGUCCUAGCUCUAGUGACUACUGGAACAGCUGGGACACGAGUGGCUUUGGCAUCUGCUGGUGCAAACCAAUAUGAGAAACCUAAAGAUCAAGGAACCUUCUUCAACUGUUACUUCCUCAUGGUAAAUACAGGCGCGAUCAUUAGCGCGACAGAAAUUGUAUAUACUCAGGACAAUGCUAGCUGGAAGCUCGGGUUCGGUCUCUGCGCUGCUGCUAAUUUAAUCAGUUUUGUCCUUUUCAUCUCCGGGAAGAGACUUUACAAGCAUAACAAACCUAUGGUGUUGGGAAUAAUACCCAAUAUUGAUGAGAUGAAAAUGAGAUUUAGACAACUAAGAGAUUUAAGAAGAAGACUCUUAAUAUUUAGGAAAGGGUUUACUACAAAGAUUUUGUUUUUGCAAACUCUCUCUUACAAAUAUUUUCUCUCUUUG